rnacentral:rRNA from 1 species
UACGUAGGUGGCAAGCGUUGUCCGGAUUUAUUGGGUUUAAAGGGCGCGUAGGCGGUUUGACAAGUCACUUGUGAAAUCUCUGAGCUUAACUCAGAACGGCCAAGUGAAACUGUUGUGCUAGAGUGCAGAAGGGGCAAUCGGAAUUCUUGGUGUAGCGGUGAAAUGCGUAGAUAUCAAGAGGAACACCUGAGGUGAAGACGGGUUGCUGGGCUGACACUGACGCUGAUGCGCGAAAGCCAGGGGAGCAAACGGG